GACGAACGCUGGCGGCGUGCUUAACACAUGCAAGUCGAACGGGCCUGUCUUCUUUUUUGGGGGUGGGUUGAGUGGCGAACGGGUGAGUAUCACGUGAGUAACCUGCCCUUCGGUCCUGGAUAACCGCUUGAAAGGGCGGCUAAUACGGGGUGGUCCGGUUGGUCCGCAUGGGCUGGUCGGGAUAGAUUCACUGUUUUUGGUGUUUCGGCGGGGGAUGGGCUCGCGGCCUAUCAGCUUGUUGGUGGGGUGAUGGCCUACCAAGGCGGUGACGGGUAGCCGGGCUGAGAGGGUGGGCGGCCACACUGGGACUGAGGUACGGCCCAGACUCCUGCGGGAGGGAGCAGUGGGGGGUAUUGCACAAUGGGCGGAAGCCUGAUGCAGCGACGUCGCGUGAGGGAUGGAGGCCUUCGGGUUGUGAACCUCUGUUUCCGGUGGUGAAGGCCCUGUCCGUGUGGUGGGGUUGACGGUAGCCGGGGAUGAAGCGCCGGCUAACUACGUG
rnacentral:rRNA from 1 species